CAGUAGCCGCGGGAAUACAGAGGGUGCGAGCGUUAAUCGGAUUUACUGGGCGUAAAGCGUGCGUAGGCGGCUUCUUAAGUCGGAUGUGAAAUCCCUGAGCUUAACUUAGGAAUUGCAUUCGAUACUGGGAAGCUAGAGUAUGGGAGAGGAUGGUAGAAUUCCAGGUGUAGCGGUGAAAUGCGUAGAGAUCUGGAGGAAUACCGAUGGCGAAGGCAGCCAUCUGGCCUAAUACUGACGCUGAGGUACGAAAGCAUGCGGAGCAAACAGGAUUAGAUACCCCGGUAGUCCCUGUCUCUUAUAC
rnacentral:rRNA from 1 species